AACUUACCAGGUCAAGACAUGGGCGUGAUUGACAGGCUAAUGACUUUUCUCGAUUCCAUGGAUGGUGGUGCAUGGUCGCACUUAGUUGGUGCAGUGAUUUGUCAGGUUUAUUCCGGUAACGAACGAGACCUCGGCCUUGUAAAUAGCUAUGCUGCUUACAGGGACAUUGGCGGCUACGCCAAGGAAGCUCGAGGCAAUUGCAGAUCUGGAAUGCCCUUAGAUGUCCUGGGUCGCACGCGUGCUACAAUGACGCCACGAACGAGCUUGCGUGAUGAAAGUUACGCAUAAUCAGCAGUCGGCGUCUUAAGGGAUAGUCUCUUGUAACUGUGGGACUCCAACUAGGAAUGUCUCGUAAGCACAAGUCAACAUCUUGUGUUGAUUACGUCCCUGCUCUUUGUACACACCGCCCGUCGCUCCUACCGAUCGAGUGUUUAGGUGAAUUUGAUGGACGUAAGGAAGUCAAAUAAACCUGAGCACUAGAGAAGAGAAGUCGAGCAUCU
rnacentral:rRNA from 1 species